rnacentral:rRNA from 1 species
AUACGGAGGGUGCAAGCGUUACUCGGAAUCACUGGGCGUAAAGCGCGCGCAGGCGGCUAUUUAAGUUGGAUGUGAAAGCCUACGGCUCAACCGUAGAACUGCAUCCAAAACUAUUUAGCUAGAGUGUGGGAGAGGAAGAUGGAAUUAGUUGUGUAGGGGUAAAAUCCGUAGAGAUAACUAGGAAUACCAAAAGCGAAGGCAAUCUUCUGGAACACUACUGACGCUGAGGCGCGAAAGCGUGGGGAGCGAACAGGAUUAGAAACCCCAGUAGUCC